UACGUAGGUGGCGAGCGUUGUCCGGAAUUAUUGGGCGUAAAGAGCGUGUAGGUGGGAUAGUAAGUCUUAUGUAAAAGUGCGGGGCUCAACCCCGUAAAGCGUGAGAAACUGCUAUUCUUGAGUGCCGGAGAGGAAAGCGGAAUUCCCAGUGUAGCGGUGAAAUGCGUAGAUAUUGGGAGGAACACCAGUGGCGAAGGCGGCUUUCUGGACGGUGUCUGACACUGAGGCGCGAAAGCCAGGGGAGCGAACGGG
rnacentral:rRNA from 1 species